rnacentral:rRNA from 1 species
UACGGAGGGUGCGAGCGUUGUCCGGAAUCAUUGGGCGUAAAGGGCGCGUAGGUGGCCCGGUCAGUCCGUGGUGAAAGCGCGGGGCUCAACCCUGCGUCGGCCAUGGAUACUGCCGCGGCUCGAGCACUGUAGAGGCAGGCGGAAUUCCGGGUGUAGCGGUGGAAUGCGUAGAGAUCCGGAAGAACACCGGUGGCGAAGGCGGCCUGCUGGGCAGUAUAGCUGACACUGAGGCGCGACAGCGUGGGGAGCAAACGGG